rnacentral:rRNA from 1 species
GUGCCAGCCGCCGCGGUAAUACGUACUGUGCGAACGUUAUUCGGAAUUACUGGGCUUAAAGGGUGUGUAGGCGGCUGAUUAAGUAGGGUGUGAAAGGCUCCGGCCUAACCGGAGCAUUGCGCUCUAAACUGAUCGGCUUGAGUGAGAUAGGGGUGUGCGGAACUUCCAGUGGAGCGGUGAAAUGUGUUGAUAUUGGAAGGAACGCCGGUGGCGAAAGCGGCACACUGGGUCUUAACUGACGCUGAGACACGAAAGCCAGGGGAGCGAACGGGAUUAGAUACCCGCGUAGUCC